UACAGAUACACUUUUUUAAUAAGGUCCAUCUUAAAGCAUUUUGGUUUGUUCUGUUGCCUGGAUUGCUGUGUUUUAUGUAACCACAAGAUGGCGCCUCAAUUAGUAAAGCAAACACAGGUAACAAUACAGGUGACACAGAUGAUGAGCUGAUUAAUGUUAUUAUAUAGGAUGAGUUAAGAGCAGUUGAAUUUUGCUACUCUAAUUUAACUUGAUGAGGACUUUAAUCCACUAUAAGGAAAUGGCUCUUAGAAAAUGUGUACCCUAUUCUGAACAUAAUUACUGAUUAAAAAUAGACAUGUUAAAAUAACCAGAUAUACUUGAGGACUGUGAUAGGUGGAAAUGGAAUUUAAAAAAUGACUUUAAAAAAAAAAGUCAUUUCACCAGCAUAGACACCUUUAUUUGACAGUUAUGAGACAGGAAAUCAUGGGAGAGAGAGGGGAUGCAACAUGCACCAAAGGACCGGGAUUCGAACCGCAGUUGGCUGCGUACGUGUAUGUAUUAAACUUCGCUAUGCCAUGGCCACCCCACACUAGCUUUGUGUCCCAUCUUGGCCACCCCAGUAAAAAUGUCCUGGAUACGCCACUGAUUUGGGGGAAGCUCAAUGUGCGACUGGCUCGGAGUGGCUGUAACUCUGCACCACGGCUGAAUUUCGGGAACGUCUUUGAAUACUGUUAGUUGCCCACUAAUACCUAUAUUAAAGAAUACAUAAAAUAGCAUGUCAUGGGACCUUUAACUAGAACUAACUUUGUUCUCGUUUGAGAAGGUCAUAGAACUCAUUAUAGAGAUUUUAUCGUAUAAAAACAUUCAUUUGGGGUAGUUCAUCCGUGUGUGGAAUUAAAAGUUCUACGGCCUAACCCAUCACUGCAGAUCAUCUCCUCACUGCGGAUGAGGGGAUAUGUGUGUUCCUGUUGUGACCGACAGAAGACGUGUUGCACAACAUCACACGGAGCUCCGAACCAGCAUUAGAUGUUCCUGAACAAGGCGCGUGAUGGUUUUCUUUUGUGCUGCGGAAUCAAACCAGCCGUUGCUGUAUUUAUUAACGGAUGUUUUUAUCAUCUAGUAGCCAAGUGCUUUUCUCUGGGGUUCAUCUGAGGAGACAGAUCAGAGAAGGUGUUGAGGCUUGAGGAGACACGCCCGCUGAAUCACAGCAGCCCCCACUGCAGUAGGGCCGAUUGAGUGUCGGACUGGAAGGUGUUAAAGGGAUGCUUCACCCAUUCAGAACCGGUGUUCUAUCAUUAUAACUAACAUAAUAACGAACGGUUCUCGUCUUCAUUUCCGAUCGAGAACGGCCGGUCAAAGGGGUUGGUAUGACGGGGAUUCGAUCCGACGCUUUAUAAUAAGAGCUGUGAUAUGAAAUAAAACUUAAAAGAUAGAACGCUUCACGAAUUUGCGUGUCAUCCUUGCGCUAUCUGUCCAGCGAUGCUCUCUGUUUCUCAGCCAAUCAGCAACCCCGCAUCAACUCCAGAGACCUCAACUCCAGAGACGCCCCGAUCAAUCAGCAACCCCGCAUCAACUCCAGAGACCUCAACUCCAGAGACGCCCCGCCCAAUCAGCAACCCGCAUCAGCAUCAACUCCAGGAAAACUUUCCACGUGUGUCAGCCAUUAUCUCUGCAUUCGAGGAUAAGAUGUCUUUUGCAAAUUUAAAAAUGACGCCGUCGCAUCAGUUGGUCCUGCGGGCCUCUGAUUCGGCGGCAGCCUUCACCGCCGCCACGGGGCCACGCGGGACCCAGGCUCCCGCCAGGGCCAAGAAGCCGGGGGAGGUGGAGAAGGAGGCCCGAGCCCGCGUCGUCUCCGAGGGUGGUGACCCUGGGAACCCCAUGCUGGUGCUGGACUGCCACAGCAUCCAGCUGGGGAAGUACCGGGGUCAGACCUUCAGAUGGCUCCUGGAGAACGACGCGGGCUACGCCUGUCACCUGGUCGACAGUCACCAGCAGGAGCGGGAGACGAGUGCCUCGGACAGCCCGCUCAUGGCCAACAAGGACAGCCUCGCCCGCUACUCCUGCGCCCACCCCGCUUUUGCGGAGCACCUCCAGUUCCGCCGGGCGCAGGAGGAGGCCCGGGCUCGCGCCACUCUGCCCGGGCGGGGAGGCGAGGCGCUUGUUGGCAUCGGGCUGUUCAAGGAGGACACCCUGAAGGACCUGUACGACUCCAAGGACAAGGAGCGUCAGACCUACGUCAAGUGGCUACGGCGGAAGACCCCGCAGCCUGGGAGCGCCAUGGACGUCGCCAUAAAGUACAUUCUGGGCCGAGACAAGGAGCGGUCGGCGGAGGCGGCUGCUACACCCCCUCCGCCCGCCAGCAGCAGCACCAGCAGCGGCCUCAGCACCUCCACCAGCAAGGCCGCUGCUUCCACCGUGCUGCCGCCCCGCAAGCCGACCGCUCCCAAUUUCUCGGCCCUUGUGCGCGGGCGUCCGAUGGGCCCAGGGGAGCUGCAGGCCCGGAUCAGGAGACUGAUGACCCCACCAGCACGGCCUGCAGCUCCAGCGGUGUCUUCCGUCAGAGACCAGCGCCCCUCGGUUCCGCCGCCCCCCACCACAGAGGUGAUGGACGAGGAGCUGGUCCAGACGGUCACUGACGUGGAAAUGGGUAGCUGGCACCACAUGCAUACAUACACACCACAACUGAUAUCUAUUCUUGAGUCAGUGUGUUUGCAUUAACUGUAACUUUUUCAUUUGCCGGUCGCUAAAGCUGAUGCCUGAAGGACAAAGGUAGGUUUAUCAGGUGAUGUAGCCGUCUUUGUUGGUGGUAGACGCGCCGUCCUCACUCACGUAGUGGUAAUGUGGAUUUGAUUAAACUCCCAGUCUAGCAAACCUCGCCUUGUAACUAACAUUCGCCUUGUAGCACACCUCUUAACGGUCGCCUUGUAGCACACCUCUUAACAGUCGCCUUGUAGCACUAAACCAUUUUAUCUAAUCAACGGCAUGCUGCACGUCAUGAAUGCUCAGACUCACUUAGUCUCGCCUGCCUGUGUGUUGCCCCGUCACUCUCAUUGUGCUGAUGCCAUUUGGUUGUGCGUGACCGUGUCUGAAGCUGGCGUACAGGUCCUUCAGGCCCUCCCGCUCCCGCUGGAGACGCCUCCGUCUCCGCCUCCUCCGGCACCGUCCUCCACCCCUCCCCCACCACCACCACCUCCACCACCACCAUCCCCACCACCACCACCACCACCACCACCACCACAGGUUGCGGCCGCUCCGCCGACGGUCGGGCUUCCUGCUCGGGCUCCGGCGCAGACCAGGGUGGAGCCUCGUGGCGUCUCCGUGGAGGAGACGCCGUGCGGGGAGGCCACCCUGGCACCGGAGCCGAAGAAGAGGAGGAAGAUGACGACGGGCGACGCGGAGCAGUCGGCAACGCCCGCUCCUGCUCGGGCUGAGGUACAGACACGCGCCCGUCGUACUCACAGACACACGACUCGGUGGAGACGACCGUCGGACUGCGUACGUAGCAGCGACUCUUCCUCCUCACGGUGUGUUUGUCUGUGUUGUCUUCAUCCUCCUCACAGACCCGGUUGCCUGAGGGCUGGCGGACAGCCCUCACCGGGGGAAGAGCAGGAGUGGAUCGGCCGGGCGCUGUUUCAGCAGACCAGCGGGGGGUCCCUCAAGCUCACCACGGACCUCAAGCUGUGUUGGGACCCCCCCCAGCCCCGGCUGAACUAUUCUCAGCCACCCGCCUCGGCGGCUACCUUCUUCGCGUGUCGGUUGUUCCUCUGGGCGCCCCUGCACAUGUGGGGUCCCCGGCCGACAUGCUGCGAGAAGCAUCUCACCAAGUGUGGGAUGUACAAGACCAUCCGGAAGGUCUUGGACAUCGACGGCUGGUACUUGAUGGCCACCGAGUACCUGGAGUGCCGUCGGUGUCGGAGGAAGGUAGCUGCCUGGUCGCAGGAGGUCGUGAGGCAGCUGGGAGAGGGGCAUCGCGCCCUCUUCCCGGCGAUCCUCACCUACAAGCUUGCCUGCGACCGGCGGGUCAUCAUCCAGCUGCGUGAGCGUACUCGGGGGAACAGCGCCACGCAGCUGCAAAAGAAACUCUGUGAGGCACACACAGAGGCCUGGAUGCGGCGGUCCAUACACUACCUCAGCGUCAUGGAGCCCUUCACGUCGACGGGUGUCGUGCGCCAGUGCACCCCACCGCCGAAACCAUCGCCAGACGUGCCGCAGUACGGCUGGCUGUUGGUGGUGUACUGCCACGACAUCCUGUCUCGCCUGGAGGACGUGAAGGCCCGGGUCACCUCAGUCUUCGGAUCCAUCCUAAAGAUGGAUUCGACCAAGAAGGUGACCCGGAAGCUCGCCCGGUGCCGCCGCCCAUACCGCAGCCUGGGCGACCAACGUGGGCAACGAGCACGGGCAGGUGCUAAUGUCCGUGCUCACGGCCACCGAGGGGGGUGGCCUGUUGCCCAUGGCUGCGGGGUUAAUGAGGCGGUACCGGGACGCUGGGGUAGCGCAGCCUCGCGUCCUCUAUGUCGACCGGGACUGCUGUUCGUCCCACGGGGGGUCUAAGGCAGCUGCUGCGUUCCAGGAGCGGACCUCCAGGACAAGCUGGUGGUCCGGUUGGACAUUUGGCACCUGAUGCGACGCUACGCAUCAGGUGUCACAACCGAGAGCCACCAGCUGUACAAGCCCUUCCUGCAGCAGCUGUCUGCCAGUAUCUUCCUGUGGGACCCAGAGGACACAGCCCGGUUGCUCAACGCCAAGAGGAGGACGCUAGAGGCGCAGGGGAUGACCUUCUCGUCCGACGCCGGAGUGUGGAGGCACGUCAGCCGCAGGGAGAUGGCUCUCCAUUGCCGUCGCCGCACGCGUGGAGCUGCGGCGACCGAGCGGCUGAUCGAUGACCUCCUGCAAACCUUCGGCGGUGCCAACGGGCGAGACACCAUGGGGAUUCCCCUGCUGGACCGAGACCGCAUCCAGGCAAUCCGUGCGGAGCAGCGACGGCACCUCGAGUGCAUCCAGGACCCGCCGGGCGUGGAGCUGUACACGGAGACAGGCAGGCUGACCAAGGGGGGGAUCAGCCUGCCGACGUACCGUUGUGCGCGCGGCUCCACGUCCCUGGAGUCGUUCCAUCUCCACCUCAACCGCUUCAUUCCAGGAGAAAGUGCCAACCCUUGGCACUUCCAGGCUUUUCUCCUGGAGGGGUUGAUGAGAUGGAACGAGGACAGGGCGGCGUCCGCGGGCCCAGGAGGGUCGUCCGCUGCUCCGCACCUCCAGUGGCCCCCUGCAGCACUCCCUUGACCAGCUCAGCCAACGGGUGCUUGGCUCGAGUUUGGUCAGGGAUUACACCAAGCCCAGGGAGUACACGGGGGAACUCAUCGGCAUCGAGUACCUGUACUCCCAGACGGGCAGAGUGCUGCAGGACGUCAGCUUGGACCCUGACGUUCCGGACGCGGGUCCACCGCCUACCGAGGAGGACGACGAGCUCGCCGAAGGCCGGCAUGAGUUGGAGGACCUCACACUCCACGUGCCUGGCGAGUUCACCGCUCCUCGGACGGACCCGCGGUCAGGGCAACCAGCUGACGCACCCGCGCCCGAGCCAUCCCGUCCGACCGAUCCCCCCGAGCCUGCGCCCCACUCCCCCGGCCGGUCCUCACCAGAGCCUCAGCAGGCCGCUGAGGACUACCGAGGACCAGACGACCAGCCGGGGUACCUGGCCGUGGUCCGCUUGGCCACGGCCUUAGUGGGGCUGCGCCACGAACAGGCCCUGUCCGAGGGGAGGGUAGACGAGCUCAUCGGGCUCUACGAGGCCCUGUCCCCGUUCGACAGGGCCCGAGUAGUUUACCCUCCCCGCUACACGGACGGGGCAGCUCGGGGGGGGGUCGAUUCAUGGCAGCGAAGCCAGGCCGCACCAGUAUCCCUGGUGUGGAGAGCCUGCGACGCUGCCUGGUCGGACAGACCUCUGACCCGCCAGCAGUUGAUGGCUCGGGCGCCCGUUCAGCUCUUUGAGCUGAACGCUAGGACCCUCUCGCUGUGGUUUACCCGGACGCAGCGAGAGAAGGAGAGGGCUGUGUUGACUCCAGGCGUUGCAGCAGACGGAGGACGACCACCGGCGGCGGCCGCGGCGACAGCGCCGGGCCCGGCAUCAGCGGCGGCGGUGGAUCGUCAGGCGGCAGCAGCAACGGCGACGUCGGCGGUGCCUCAAGGCCGGGCGACGACAGCGGCAGCGAGGGGGGCGGCGGUGGCCCCGGCAGCGGCACCGGCUGUGGCAGCACCGGGGCCCGCUCUGCAGGCGCCCAGACGGCUACUGGCGCCUCGACAGCCCGCCCCCUCGGCUGCUUACCCGGCCUUGCCGCCGACGGCUGCUGCCGCAGCUGCAACUGGACCUUUAAGAGCAGCACAGCCUCUCCUUGUGGACCUCUUACUGCCCCGGCAGAGUGUGUGGGUGCUCCCCGUCCCCGUCCCCCUCCUGACACUCCCUCGGACACUGCCGGCUCCACACGUCCUCCCUCCGCCGCUGGCCGCCGCACAGCACGCCGGCCCUGAGCUGCCUGUAGCCCUCAAAACGGUAUACCAGAGGAGGCUGAACGCCAAGCGGCGGGCGGAGGCACAGCCGGGCACAACCUACUCCUCCCGGGCCGGCGUGCCACAGGUGCAUAAGUGCAGUAAAUGCGGCCAGCCGAGGCGGAGGGAGACCGGACACUCCCGCCACGGCAGAGAAUACUUCUGCUCCGUCGCGGCGGGUCAGAGUGUGGAGGACUGGCUGAGGGAGAAGAGGAGCGGGACCAGGGUGGAGCCCCGCACUGAUGCACACUCUUGCCGGGGAUGGUGUUGUACAUAGUUCUCUUUUGUAUAUAGUUGUUUUUCUGUUGUGUAUAUAGUUAUUUUGCUGUGUUAGUGUAUAUAGUUGUUUGCUGUAUAUAGUUUUCAUUUUU
ensembl:lncRNA